AGACGUUAAACACCGCCAACUCAGUUUCAGUUUGUUUCAGUUAACUAGCGGGAAACAUUGUCGUGGCCAGAGCUUUAGCUUCAAACUAAAGAGAACAGUUUGGUUGCUUUGUUUUAUCGGGUUAAGUGUUAAUGUGCUAAUUAAAAUAUUUGGGCUAAAGUAUUGCGACGAUAUUACUCAUACUGUAAAUGUCCAAAUGAACAAGGGCUUUUUUUUAGCAUUGUUUGAUAACUAUACCUUUUUAUUAUAUUUAUAUUAAAAUGAGAAAUUACAAAAUUAGCUUGCGUCGGUGAAAGUGUGUUAACGGUUUUGUAUAUCUCCGAGUAUUGACGUCUAAUAAACAUAGCUGCUGGCCUCAUCUCAAGCUAUUUAUGCACAAGCAUCGAGGAUUAAAUUGCAGAACAAUAUAAUACACAUUUAACACGAUACUGUCUAAAAUAAACCAAGAUAUUCGCAUAUUCGUUAAUCUAUAACAAACCUUCCCUCUCUCAAAUUAAAAAACAAAUAAAUACGCAUUGGACUUUUGUAGAACCAACUAAAUAAUGAAACGUUUUACAAUCACUAAAUUAUUAAAAAAUUAUCAUGGUAUUUGAACUAAACACCCGCGGGAAACGUGCGAUGGACCAAUGCUUUCCGAAGUUUAUCGUGAUCGCGACGCUAUAAUUCCCAACCGAUUCUAUCGUUUUACAUGGUAACCCCCUUCGAUCGUUGAGCUGCCUCUCUACUAACAUUUCCAAACAUAUGUGUGUAUGUAUGAUUCUUGGAUUACCUUACAAAAAGUAAUGUGUUUGGUUUUGUUUGCUUUAUCAAUACAAAUUCCCGUACUAGGUCAAUAAUGCUAGCCUUAAACUUAACAAAUAACUUUAAAACAUUUCGUCUUCGCAUACGGGGUUCUUAAUUAUUUUCCCUGUUUUGUUCCAUUGCUAACGUUAAUUAAGGCCUUAUUUUUGUUCUUUAUUAAAAAAAAAAUUUAAAACAAAACAUGCAAAUGCAAUAAAAUGCUGAGUAACACGCUCGCCUUCGGACACUCUCCUGGUGCGCUUCGUCACUACGUGGACUACCGUCUACAUUGAUAUACUCUUUCCUUUAUGAGUACCGGCUACUAAAACUAGAACACUGAGGUGCAGCCUUAAAUUUUGUGAAGAACUUUUCGAAUCCCAUACACAAAUAACGUUGGAGGUUAAAACAGGAAGACAACCUUUGGGCACAAAUGCUUUCUUAUGAUAGAAACAAACACUAUAUGCAAUGGAAGCCUAUUUAGAUAUGUACAAUGAACAUUUUUUUUACAUACAAACGGAAAGAUAACCGAGUUUAAAUAUUUAUUUGUGUACGCUUAAUUAUUUCUGGUCGAAUAUACCUACAAUUAUAUAUAAUAUAUGAGGCAUUCUCUGGAAAAACCGGGCGGUUUUUUAAUUGAUAUAGUGAUAUAGUCAACUCAAACACACAAAGUGACAUUUGAUGGAUUUUGCAUGUACGGUUGCCACCACAUUUUUAAAAAGCUACAAUUUUCAACGAGUGACUCAAUAUUUAUGGAACUCAGGGCUUUUUAGUUAAAACCAUUUCGAAUUAAAAAAAAAAACAAGGAAGGUAGCUUACUUCGGCAAGUCGAAGUUUAUAUACCCUUGUUGGUCGUUCCUAUAUAAACAGAGCGAACAUUAAAAACAAAAGAGAAAGCUAAAGUUGAUGCCAUCGAGUAUCAGAUACCCGUUACUCAUCUUAGUGCACUGGGAGCACUCAGGGAGUGUGAGGUAGAUAGAGAUAUACAUGUAGCAAAGCGUCUGCUCCCAAGAUUGCUAUAUUUAUUUGC